UACGUAGGGGGCAAGCGUUGUUCGGAAUUACUGGGCGUAAAGGGCGCGUAGGCGGCCCAGCAAGUCGGAAGUGAAAGCCCGGGGCUCAACCCCGGAAUGUCUUUCGAAACUGCUGAGCUAGAGUGCAGAAGAGGCAACUGGAAUUCCCAGUGUAGCGGUGAAAUGCGUAGAUAUUGGGAAGAACACCUGAGGCGAAGGCGGGUUGCUGGGCUGACACUGACGCUGAGGCGCGAAAGCCAGGGGAGCGAACGGG
rnacentral:rRNA from 1 species